rnacentral:rRNA from 1 species
GACGAACGCUGGCGGCGUGCUUAACACAUGCAAGUCGAACGAUGAAGCCGGAGCUUGCUCCGGUGGAUUAGUGGCGAACGGGUGAGUAACACGUGAGCAAUCUGCCCUUGACUCUGGGAUAACUGCGGGAAACUGUAGCUAAUACCGGAUACGACACCUUGGGGCAUCCCAGGGUGUGGAAAGAAUUUCGGUCAAGGAUGAGCUCGCGGCCUAUCAGCUAGUUGGUGAGGUAAUGGCUCACCAAGGCGACGACGGGUAGCCGGCCUGAGAGGGUGGACGGCCACACUGGAACUGAGACACGGUCCAGACUCCUACGGGAGGCAGCAGUGGGGAAUAUUGCUCAAUGGGCGAAAGCCUGAUGCAGCAACGCCGCGUGAGGGAUGAAGGCCUUCGGGUUGUAAACCUCUUUUAGCAGGGAAGAAGCGAAAGUGACGGUACCUGCAGAAAAAGCACCGGCUAACUACGUGCCAGCCGCCGCCGUAA